rnacentral:rRNA from 1 species
AUUGAACGCUGGCGGCAUGCCUUACACAUGCAAGUCGAACGGUAGAGGGGCAACCCUCGAGAGUGGCGAACGGGUGAGUAAUGCAUCGGAACGUGCCCAGUCGUGGGGGAUAACGUAGCGAAAGCUACGCUAAUACCGCAUACGACCCGAGGGUGAAGGCGGGGGACUCGCAAGGGCCUCGCGCGAUUGGAGCGGCCGAUGUCAGAUUAGGUAGUUGGUGGGGUAAAGGCCUACCAAGCCGACGAUCUGUAGCUGGUCUGAGAGGACGACCAGCCACACUGGGACUGAGACACGGCCCAGACUCCUACGGGAGGCAGCAGUGGGGAAUUUUGGACAAUGGGCGCAAGCCUGAUCCAGCCAUGCCGCGUGCGGGAAGAAGGCCUUCGGGUUGUAAACCGCUUUUGUCAGGGAAGAAAUCUUCUGGGUUAAUACCUCGGGAGGAUGACGGUACCUGGAGAAUAAGCACCGGCUAACUACGUGCCAGCCGCCGCAGUAA